AACGAACGCUGGCGGCGCGCCUAAUACAUGCAAGUCGAGCGAGAAGGUGUAGCAAUACACUUGUAAAGCGGCGAACGGGUGAGGAAUACAUGGGUAAUCUACCAUCGAGUGGGGAAUAACCAACCGAAAGGUUGGCUAAUACCGCGUACGCCUCCGGGUCUUCGGGUUCGGAGGGAAAGCUGCACUGUGAGUGUAGCGCUCUUUGAUGAGCUCAUGUCCUAUCAGCUUGUUGGUAGGGUAACGGCCUACCAAGGCUUUGACGGGUAGCUGGUCUGAGAGGACGAUCAGCCACACUGGCACUGCGACACGGGCCAGACUCCUACGGGAGGCAGCAGUAAGGAAUAUUGCGCAAUGGGCGAAAGCCUGACGCAGCGACGCCGCGUGGGGGGAUGAAGGUCUUCGGAUUGUAAACCCCUUUUCGGGAGGGAAGAUGGAGCGAGCAAUCGUUCGGACGGUACCUCCAGAAGCAGCCACGGCCAACUUCGUGCCAGCAGCCGC
rnacentral:rRNA from 1 species